UCGGGAAUAUUGGUAAUGUGCGAAAGCGCGAACCAGCAACGCCGCGUGCACGAUGAAGGCCUUCGGGUUGUAAAGUGCUUUUAGAGAGGAUGAGGAAGGACAGUACUUUCUGAAUAAGCCUCGGCUAACUACGUGCCAGCAGCCGCGGUAAAACGUAGGAGGCUAGCGUUAUCCGGAUUUACUGGGCGUAAAGCGCGUGCAGGUGGUUUCGUAAGUUGGAUGUGAAAGCUCCUGGCUUAACUGGGAGAGGUCGUUCAAAACUGCGAGGCUUGAAAGUGGUAGAGGGAGGUGGAAUUCCGGGUGUAGUGGUGAAAUGCGUAGAUAUCCGGAGGAACACCAGUGGCGAAAGCGGCCUCCUGGACCAUUUCUGACACUCAGACGCGAAAGCUAAGGUAGCAAACG
rnacentral:rRNA from 1 species